UGGCCCUUACGGCCAGGGCUACACACGUGCUACAAUGGUCGGUACAAAGGGUUGCUACACAGCGAUGUGAUGCUAAUCUCAAAAAGCCGAUCGUAGUCCGGAUUGGAGUCUGCAACUCGACUCCAUGAAGUCGGAAUCGCUAGUAAUCGCGGAUCAGAAUGCCGCGGUGAAUACGUUCCCGGGCCUUGUACACACCGCCCGUCACACCAUGGGAGUUUGUUGCACCAGAAGUAGCUAGCCUAACUGCAAAGAGGGCGGUUACCACGGUGUGGCCGAUGACUGGGGUGAAGUCGUAACAAGGUAGCCGUAGGGGAACCUGCGGCUGGAUCACCUCCUUA
rnacentral:rRNA from 1 species